rnacentral:lncRNA from 1 species
AAAGUUUUUUAAUUGAGAUUCCUCACAUGAAUUUAAUAAAAUUUUUACUUUUGCUGGGAAAAACACUCAAUUGCUAAAAUUUAAAAACAAAACACUUAGGUUGAGAGGUUAUAUAUAUAGAGAGUUUUGUUAUAAUACUAUCGGUAGUACAGCUUGGUUUACUACGAUUUGUUUUCAAUGAUAGAACAUCCAAAUUGACAAUCGGCACCGUUAAAUUGAUAUAAACCAUUUAAACUAUCUGAAAAUUAAAUUUCACGCUUUUCCGAGUUAUGAUCAUGUCAAAGUGGACUAUAGAUAAGAGGGUUUUCAUAAAAUUUUAAUUUAUUGUUAAUAAUAAAUUUUUAAUUAAAAAUUUUUUGUUUGAGCAGAUCAUAUAAGUAAUACUCUAAUAUCGAGAAUUUUGAUAUCAAAAUAUUUUUAGCAUGAGAUAUGUGAGUUAUUUAAAUAAAAUUUUUAAAAAUAAAUAUUUAAAUAGUUAAUGUUGAAUUCUACUAUGGACAAAUUGCAUUAUAACUAUGCAUAAUUUAAAAGCGAAAAAUCAUAAUGAGAUUUAACUAUUACACUUAAUAAACUAUAGAUCUUUAAUUGAAAUAUUUUAAAAAUAAUGUUAAAUUAUUAUGUGAUUCAAAUGUUAAAAAUUGAUCAGAUAAUUAAUCUUGAAUAUUACAUAUUUAAAAUGUUGCUAGGGGUAAAAUUAGUAUUUACAAAAUAUUGGAUGACAACUUGACGAAAAGCUAAUCUAAAGGGUAUCUGUGAACAUUUUUUGUUUUAAGAGGGGUAUUGAUGAUAUUUUUUAGUUUAAAGGGUUAUUCAUGAAAUUAUGAUUUUUCAGAGGGGUAUUGAUGAAAUUAUUCCUAAAUAAUAAAUUGAUAGAGAGUGUGUUUU